rnacentral:lncRNA from 1 species
UUGUUAACGCGCGUACGUCAGUUUUUUCAGUUGGUACAUUUUAACAAUGUGUAUCGGGUUUUAGUAAACAAAAAUACCCUUAUAUAUCAUGGAUUUUAAGUUUUAAAGUCAAAGGUAUUUUAAUAAUUUUUAUUCUCAAAACUAAAAAAACAAGAAACCCCUUAACCCUUACUCACCUUCCUCAUUCCUCUCAACCUUUUCUCUUUCAUAUCUCUCACUCCAACAUUUUCUCUAUCAUCCUAUAGUAGAUCCAACUAAAUGAUCAUAUACUAGAUAAGCUUCUUAGGGCUAAGGUAUUCGUCCUUGCUGGNUAAAGACCAACCAAUAGAAGAAGGUUAGCGAGCUUGGGUCGAAAGCAAAGCGUGGGAGGUUCUCGAAUUAGCAUCAGAGAAAAAAGAAACCGAAAAAGAAUCAUUAUCCCUUGCGAAAA